AUGACGUGGAGGUACCCUCGUCGCCUCCUCGACCCUGUCCUCGAUGAUUUGCGCGGGGGAAAACAGCUAACCGCCGACUGCAUUUACAAGAUAUGUGACCUGCUGCGCUGUUCAUGGCCGCCGGAGCCAACCCCUGCCCCAACUCCCGGCGUUUAUCGGGACAACAGUGGGAACGUCAGCACAAUCACCAAGAUCAGAAAAGACGUUUUCGCCACAACCACCGUAUCUAAAGACCUUGUCGCGAUGACCACAAUCACCUCAACUUGUCCGAGCAAUGGUGACUGCACUCAAGACGAUGGUGUCCAUCUCUCAACUGAAUUGGCCACAGACAUAUCCUCCAGUGUGAACAGCAGAGUCUGCUCCUGGCGGGAGAACCCCGAUUUCCUCCCACUGUUGAAGAUGUCGUGCACGACUUCUACAUCCACGCGCUGGGCAUACUGCCCAGUCAUGCGUUACGGGACCGCCACCUCCUCCGUGCUGUCCUCACAGCCGGACAUUGUUAUGGCCCCUUGGACCCUGUGUCAAACAUCAUACUCAACUCUAUCUGGUACGACACCGUUUUCCCACUCUCGGAUGAUAUGUCGCCAAUCAGAUUGGAGCAGCUGA
rnacentral:rRNA from 1 species